ACUGAGGAAACUGUAUUUCCUGUCAGAGAUGCUCAGUGAUCCUCAGAGCAGAGAGAGGUAUUGCUGUCUUCUGAGUUCUUCACUGUCCCAACUGAAACAUUCAAACCUCAUUGCAGAGCUCAUGUCUUUCCUCACCAUCAUGUGAGUGUGAGAUUGCUCUGGAUUCUGGUUAUGUGGCCUGCAGCACCUAUAAGAACAAGCUCGUACAGUGUGCCUGCAUUCCAGCUUCUUAGACUCUACGCAAGUGGACAGAGUAUCAGUGCUUGGCCACCCUUACAGACACCGACUUCUGUCAACUCACUGCUACUGAUCAGGCACCUCACUCCAGGAAGACAGAGGGCUGCAAGCCUGUUAUCGUUUCCAGUGUGGCUUUGUAUUCUUGGGGUAGCAUCAGAUUUUUCCCACAAAUAUUCAAAGGUAACACUUAUUUUAAGCUUAGUUAUUAAAUCAAAAGUCUUCCCUUGUGUUAAUUGUUUUAUUUUUUAUUUUUAUUUUUUCUUUUACAUUUAUAUGCAGUUAUCAGAUGUGGUGGAGCUUUGUUAACUGUGUGGAAAACAUCUGUUUGUGAUGAUAUUUACAAUGAGGUUUUAAGGUGACAGUUUCCAAGUGAUUUCAAUCAUUUGACUAAGCAAAAACAUGUUUGCAAUUAACAUAUUUUUUUCAGUUUGUCUUUUGGAUUUAACAUCCUCUGUGACAGGAAAUACUAAACUGGUCCAAGUAACCAGCAUAUCAUUGGUCAAAGACAAAAAAGGACCACAUGUCACGCUAGCAAUGAAUUUUUGACUGUGUUUGUGUCACCAGAUUUAACAAACAAUAUCAGACAUAUGAAACUGAACUCUGGAUAAUGUCUAGA